GGAGGGAUGACAGAGUGGCCGAUUGUGCAUGCUUGGAAAGCAUGUGUACCGCAAGGUACCGGGGGUUCGAAUCCCUCUCUCUCCGCAA
rnacentral:tRNA from 2 species